GGAGGCGUGGUGUAGUGGUUAACACACCGGCCUGUCACGCCGGAGAUCGCGGGUUCGAUCCCCGUCGCCUCCGCCA
rnacentral:tRNA from 4 species